AUUUAUCACAAAUUAUAGUAGGUGCUUAAAAAUAUCGUUAUUGUCCAGGUGCGGUGGCUCACUCUUCUAAUUCCAGCACUUUGGGAGGCUGAGACAGUGGAUCUUGAGGUCAAGAGAUGGAAACCAUCCCGGCCAACAUGAAAUCCAGCUGAGUAAAAAUUGGCAAGAUCCUGUGACCCGGUCCUUCAUCAAGACAAAGCUUUGCCCCCAAAGGACUCGAGGCCAUCUGUGAAUUCCAUGUUUGACAGAAAAGCUGACAGCAUAACCAAGCAAACAAGAAGGUAUUCAGAGACGCUGAAACAGAUCUUCAAAGAAGACUCAGUAGAGUGCACGAUUAGUCAACAAUAAAAAGAAGUGAAGUACCGAUAACAAGCUACAACUUGGAUGAACCUUGAAGACUUUAUGUGAAGUGAAAGAAGCCAGUCUUCUGAGCUGUGGGGGAAUACUUCAGUGAAAAAUGAAAUACUUCUUUUCUGGAUUCAUCCUGGUCUGAAUCCAGGCUUGCCAAAUAUGCUUUGUUAGGGUAUGCACAACCGAAAGAAAUAUACAUCACAUGAUUCUGUUUACUUGACAUUUCCAGCACAGGCAAGUCUAUAGAGUCAGAAAGCAGGUU
rnacentral:lncRNA from 13 species